rnacentral:rRNA from 1 species
UACGGGGGGGGCAAGCGUUGUUCGGAAUUACUGGGCGUAAAGGGCUCGUAGGUGGCCAACUAAGUCAGACGUGAAAUCCCUCGGCUUAACCGGGGAACUGCGUCUGAUACUGGAUGGCUUGAGUUUGGGAGAGGGAUGCGGAAUUCCAGGUGUAGCGGUGAAAUGCGUAGAUAUCGGGAGGAACACCUGUGGCGAAAGCGGCGCACUGGACCACAACUGACGCUGAGGCGCGAAAGCUAGGGGAGCAAACAGG